rnacentral:sRNA from 2 species
UUUCAGCGUUAGGGAUUGCAGCGGCAUCCUUUUUUAGAGGUCCAAAAGGCCUUUAAAAAAGAUACAGCAAAAAGCCCGACCCGAU